CGACCCCCUCCUCGGUUGGGAUCCCAGCUUAAUAGAACUACCUCUUGGAUUGAGAGGACUGGCUUCCAAGGCGUCGUUUUGCACCCAAGGGAGCUCUCUGUUACUGAUUCUGAUGACAAGAGCAAGUGGCUCUGGCACUGGCUCAUGCUGAAAACUCGAGAUCACGAGAACAUCAAGGUUCCCCAGCUCGUAGGAGAUGAAGUAUACAUCGA